rnacentral:RNase_P_RNA from 1 species
GUUAUUGGGCAAUCGAGCACGCAAGUGUUAGGAAAGUCCAUGCUAGCACAGGCUGAGAUGCUUGUAGUGAUUGUGCUGAACGAACAAAUAAGUUCAGGCACCAGCAAUGGUGACGGCGGGAAACGGGAUUUCAAAGGCCCUAUACCCCUAAGGUGCCACAGAGACGACUCAUGCAAAAUAUGCAUGAAUGAAACGCGGUAAACCCCUCAAGCUAGAAACCCAAAUUUGGUAGGGGCACGGAAGGCGAAGAAUUCAAUUCAGCCGACUGGCGACUCACGUCGCAGAUAAAUGAUUGCCACCUCGUAAGAGGAACAGAACAUGGCUUACAGAU